rnacentral:tRNA from 1 species
GCGGCUAUAGUUUAACUGGAUAGAAUGCAAGCCUACGAAGUUUGAGAUUUGGGGGUUCGAGUCCCUCUAGCCGCACCA